CAAAGGCAAUUAAGGUGGCUUUUUUUUUCCUCUCUCCUUAAAACAUUUACACGUUCUCCUUAUUUUCAGCAGUAAUUUCUUUCUGGAAUAAAGGAAACUAUCUCUCCAUUUAAACCGGUAGAGAUUCUCCCAGGUUUAAAAAGGCGUUAAUAUUAGCCAUCUAACACAUUGUUGCUACUUUGAGCUUUCAAGAUCUUUGUUCACCAAAACUGUGGAAGGUGUGACCAUCUGAGAGCUAAAAUGCUGGAGAAUGGGGAGUGCCUUCCCAGAAUACUGGAGAUCCUGUUCCAUUAUACUCAUAUAAGCUAGGUUGCAGAAGCAUUUCUCACCACUGAUGCUGCUGGGCGAAAGAAAUGAACGUGAUUGAUUAUGACUUUGAUACACCUGAGGAACAGAGAAAAUUCAGUAAACAUCUCUGUGUUUCUGUCUGUCAACAGGAUAGAGGAAUGAAGGGAGUCCAUAUGUCAGCGUGCAUGACUUUUUCUGUUUGGAUGGAUGGGACGGACUUCUGAUCUGACACACCUGUUCCAGUAUCCUGACAUGAUGAGUGCCAGCUCUGAAGUGAAAGGAUACAGGAACAGGCUGUAUCUAACUGUGACUACACAGUGUUGAAAACUGAAUCGUUAAUAUGGUAAAGCUAUCUCAAGGAGGUUCUUUACACAGUAGGUAAGAAUCAUCAUCCAUGUUAUCCGCAAGUGGAAAGGUAAGGCAUGAGGCACUGAAAGCAUCACAAGACCACCAAAGAGAUGGCUAAAAAUAUAUAUAUACACCUUCAAAGACUGUCUGAUGGCUAUCUAAGAAGCCAAGCUCUUUUACUGGAGUAUUACAGAUCAAUCAGGGAUCUUGGAUCUGUAAUUUCUAAACUUCUGAAAAGCAACAUAAUUAGCCUUUCAAAUACUGGCCCAUAAUCAAGUCUUUUUUCUGCGUAAUCAAGAGAGCGGUUAAACAGCUGAGAGUCAUAAAAGAACAGGAAGAAUUUUAAGAUGCAGAGAAAUUAAAUUUGCUCCAGUUUUCAAAGGAUUAAUCCAGCCCUCAUCUCUCCUUUGACAUCUCUUGGCUACAUCCAAAUAGUCGUCUGCCUGUUCUUCCUCCACAAAAUAUGAAGGGAUGUUACUUGGGCUACCUCAUUCCCUGCCGGUUGCUAAUGGAAAAUAGUACUGCUGUGCAGGGAGACUUGUUUUAUAGGUGUUUUUCUUCUAUCUGGUUUUACAGUUCUCUACCGCCACUGUUCAGCAUUCCCUGGAUUGCUCUGCCGUUCUCUGGCCAUCCAUAUAUGUUUUGCAAACUGAGUGACACAAAGGCCUCUAAAAAAGGAAACACCUCUCACAAAACACUUUGCACUGUUCAUUGCUAUUUCUCUUAAGACAGGAGAACGGUUGCCUCCUAUCACCCUUAAGUUCCAUUUAAAAGCUGGUCAAUCCUACUGGAUACACCAGCCUUCCACUGCUCAGUCCUGGUGCCCGCAUAAGGACAGCUUUACAAAAUGAGUACUCCCUUUUCCCCUGCUAGGGCUUGACACACACUUGUAAGAUUAACAGCUAUGGAAUCUAGUGUUGUUUUAUUUUGUCAUCAGUUUUCAGUGAUAUCAUAGUCUUUUCAUUCCAGCACCUUUCACUUCCCAGUCCUUAAACUAAUAUACUGAUCCCUAUUACUAAAUAAACCAGACUAUAUCACCACUUUUUAAGCUGAGAUGUAGUUUUUCCUCUGUCCUUCUCCUUGUACAUACACUAGACUGUGCAUAAACAGCAAAGCACAAGAACUUUACAGCAAGCAGUUCCAAGUCUAACUAGGGCCUAGAGUACUGCCUACCUGAUAGUUGUGUAUAAUUUAAAGAACACUAACUGCAGAAUUUCCAAGUACUUGAUUUAAAGAAUCUUAUAUUUUUAUUAAAGUAGUUUUGCAGACUGACCAAAUAUGUUGUACUAUGGUUGAUUUUAUUGUGUAGCUACAUGGCUCCAUGCCCAUUGACUUCAAGCAAGUACAGCACUACUGCUGGAUCACAACAGUGCUAGACUGAAAGAACCAUAAUAUGAAAUUUGCAACUACAGUUUAAUCUACUUUAAAAAUAUGAAAUCUAGUAUGGUUAAUAUACCUAUCUUAAACUAAAAACUUUACCUGGAGAAAAUAAGUAGGUAUUUUUCAGUGCUCUGAUACUGACCUUAUUUUGAAUCAACAACUCUCUGAUUAUUUUGCACAAAAAACAAACAAACAAACAAAAAAACCCACAAAACUCCGCUUAACUUAGUAGCAAUGGAGAAACACAAGUCCAAAGAGAAAAAGCUCUGCCUCAAAUCUGAAGAGCAGAAUUGAGAAUCCAUUCUUUUUUCCCCCACCUCUCAACAGAAGUCUGGGCUAGAAUUCUCUCUCUUAUACUUUAUUUAAAGGCCUCUCUGCUCUAUUUGUUUUUCUAGCAUACUGUCCGUAUGGUAAAAACUGUGUGGAAAAAAUAUAGAAAAGAAACAAUUUGAACAUUACAGGGAAAGGUAUUUGAAAAAAAAAAAAAUAACAUCUACACAAAACAUGAUACAGUUGUGCUGUCUGUUGGGAUUUACCCAUGACUGUCCUUAGAGCCAAGAAAUACCAGAAGAGAGAUACUAUAGCUGGUAUUUGAAAAACUUCACGUACUCUCAGAAAGAUGCAUAUGAAAACAAUGAAAUUGGAAGCUUUUUUUUUUUUUUUUAAAUAGGAAGCAGAUUGCCAUUUGGAAAAAUUGCAGUGAGGUUAUUCCAUGUUUCAAUUUCUCUUUGGGUGAUGGGAGGAAAAGUUCACCUUGAAAACCAGAGAGUUUUACAGCAGAAACAGAAGACAGCAGAAAGAACUGAUGUGACAGCUCAGUCUAACAGAAACAAACCCGCCUAUUCCCCUCAGAAACUGCUAGUAAGACAUAAUGCAGUGUCUGCCAGUGAACUGAAUCACUUUAACAUGACUCUCACAUGUCAUUUAUUAAGCUAAAUAGACAUAAAACUGCAAAUAUCAAAUUGCCUCUAUGUGGUAAUACACAAAAAUGAGAAUUAAAUGCAACUUCCCAUCCUGCUCCUGCCUUACAAAUAUUUAUCAGCCAAGAGAAUGAUCCACAAAAGCUUUUUUUUUUUUUUUUUUUCCAUUUAGCAAAUAUCACAAUAAGACAUUAACCCUUUUAUCACAACAUGCACAAUAUGCCUUACUAGUACAAUUUCUUCUCUGAAAGAAGAAAGGGCCACAUAACUUUCUCUGCCCAGAUACAACACUGUAUGACAAAAGCCUGGAGGGACUGGGGACACCCCUUAUCAACACCAUUUUUUUGAGGCUUACAAUUUAUAUGGGAUUUUUUGUUUUUAUUUUGUUUGGUUUUUUGCUGUUCUGUUUGUUUGUUAUUUACUAAGUUUCCUGGACAAGGAAUGCAUCGGUUUUAAUAAUGCACAUACUAUUGCAAUAUAUAAUUAUCACUAUGAAUAUUGAAAUCUUAACAGUAAUCUGCAGUUAGAGCAUUUUCAGAAGAUACAAAAAUCAAAUAAAAGUGUAAUUUCUCUCAAUAAAGAGUGAUUUAUUAUUACCCAGAUUGUGCAGUAGUCAAUUUUACUCAGUUUUACCCGCAAAAGAUGCUAGUGUCUACCUGUUCAGAACACACGCUCCUGCACUUUGAUGUUGUUAAGCAUAUAACUGUAAAUAUAGGAUUUUCCAGCAGUAACUUGGAUGCAAACUUCAGUGAGGAAAAAAAUAAAUUCAG
ensembl:lncRNA